GACGAACGCUGGCGGCGUGCUUAACACAUGCAAGUCGAACGGAAAGGCUCCAGCUUGCUGGAGUACUCGAGUGGCGAACGGGUGAGUAACACGUGGGUGAUCUGCCCUGCACUUCGGGAUAAGCCUGGGAAACUGGGUCUAAUACCGGAUAGGACCGCACUUUGGUGUGUGUGGUGGAAAGGUUUUUCUGGUGUGGGAUGAGCUCGCGGCCUAUCAGUUUGUUGGUGGGGUAAUGGCCUACCAAGACGGCGACGGGUAGCCGGCCUGAGAGGGUGGACGGUCACACUGGGACUGAGAGAAGGCCCAGACGCCGACGGGAGGCAGCAGGGGGGAAGAUUGCACAAUGGGGGAAACCCGGAUGCAGCGACGCCGCGUGGGGGAUGAAGGCCUUCGGGUUGUAGACUCCUUUCGCUAGGGACGAAGCUUUUUGUGACGGUACCUGGAGAAGAAGCACCGGCUAACUACGUG
rnacentral:rRNA from 1 species